UGAAGAAGGCAGUCAACUGCAAGAUGUGGUGUGAAUUUCAGCACACAUUGAAUAAUGAUUUUUCGAACUCAGAUUGCGGCCUUAGAUCUGCCCCGGAGCCUCGCCUGCCUGAGGGU